AUGGCCAACGCUCAUGUCAACAUGAACUUCAACGCGUUCCUAGAGAAAACCAAGCUGAAAGAUGAUGGCAGCAACUAUACGGACUGGGUCCGAAACCUGAGGAUCAUCCUCAUAGCUGCCAGGAAACAAUAUGUCCUAGAAGGACCGCUAGGUGACGCUCCCGUCCCAGAGAACCAAGACAUUAUGAAUGCUUGGCAGUCUCGUGCUGAUGAUUACUCCCUCGUUCAGUGCGGCAUGCUUUACAGCUUAGAACCGGGGCUCCAAAAGCGUUUUGAGCAUCACGGAGCAUAUGAGAUGUUCGAAGAGCUGAAACUAGUUUUCCAAGCUCACGCCCGGGUCGAGAGAUAUGAUGUCUCCGACAAGUUCUACAGUUGUAAGAUGGAGGAAAACAGUUCUGUUAGUGAGCACAUCCUGAAGAUGUCUGGGUUGCACAACCGUAUGACCCAGCUGAACAUUAACCUCCCAGAUGAGGCGGUCAUUGACAGAAUCCUCCAGUCGCUCCCACCAAGCUACAAGAGCUUUGUGAUGAACUACAACAUGCAGGGGAUGGAAAAGACCAUUUCUGAAGUGUUCUCAAUGCUGAAGUCAGCAGAGGCUGAAAUCAAGAAAGAACAUCAAGUGUUGAUGGUCAAUAAGACCACUAAGUUCAAGAAGGGCAAGGGUAAGAAGAACUUCAAGAAGGACGACAAGGAGGUUGCCGCGCCUGGUAAGCCAGUUACCGGGAAGAAGUCAAAGAAUGGACCCAAGCCUGAGACUGUGUGCUUUUAUUGCAAGGGGAAGGGUCACUGGAAGCGGAACUGCCCCAAAUACUUGCGGAUAAGAAGGCCGGCAACACCAAAGGUAUAUUUGAUAUACAUGUAA
rnacentral:rRNA from 1 species